rnacentral:rRNA from 1 species
UACGUAGGGAGCAAGCGUUGUCCGGAAUCAUUGGGCGUAAAGAGCGCGUAGGCGGCCAGAUAAGUCCGGUGUGAAAGUCACAGGCUCAACCUGUGAAUGCCGCUGGAAACUGUCUGGCUAGAGUCCGGGAGGGGCGAGUGGAAUUCCUGGUGUAGCGGUGAAAUGCGCAGAUAUCAGGAGGAACACCAAUGGCGAAGGCAGCUCGCUGGAACGGAACUGACGCUGAGACGCGAAAGCGUGGGGAGCGAACAGG